rnacentral:rRNA from 1 species
UACGAAGGGGGCUAGCGUUGCUCGGAACUCACUGGGCGUAAAGGGUGCGUAGGCGGGUCUUUAAGUCAGGGGUGAAAUCCUGGAGCUCAACUCCAGAACUGCCUUUGAUACUGAGGAUCUUGAGUUCGGGAGAGGUGAGUGGAACUGCGAGUGUAGAGGUGAAAUUCGUAGAUAUUCGCAAGAACACCAGUGGCGAAGGCGGCUCACUGGCCCGGAACUGACGCUGAGGCACGGAAAGCGUGGGGAGCAAACAGG